rnacentral:rRNA from 1 species
CCCUUUAAUGUUUGAUGUUCUAACGUUGACCCGUGAUCCGGGUUGCGGACAGUGUCUGGUGGGUAGUUUGACUGGGGCGGUCUCCUCCUAAAGAGUAACGGAGGAGCACGAAGGUUGGCUAAUCCUGGUCGGACAUCAGGAGGUUAGUGCAAUGGCAUAAGCCAGCUUGACUGCGAGCGUGACGGCGCGAGCAGGUGCGAAAGCAGGUCAUAGUGAUCCGGUGGUUCUGAAUGGAAGGGCCAUCGCUCAACGGAUAAAAGGUACUCCGGGGAUAACAGGCUGAUACCGCCCAAGAGUUCAUAUCGACGGCGGUGUUUGGCACCUCGAUGUCGGCUCAUCACAUCCUGGGGCUGAAGUAGGUCCCAAGGGUAUGGCUGUUCGCCAUUUAAAGUGGUACGCGAGCUGGGUUUAGAACGUCGUGAGACAGUUCGGUCCCUAUCUGCCGUGGGCGCUGGAGAACUGAGGGGGGCUGCUCCUAGUACGAGAGGACCGGAGUGGACGCAUCACUGGUGUUCGGGUUGUCAUGCCAAUGGCACUGCCCGGUAGCUAAAUGCGGAAGAGAUAAGUGCUGAAAGCAUCUAAGCACGAAACUUGCCCCGAGAUGAGUUCUCCCUGACUCCUUGAGAGUCCUGAAGGAACGUUGAAGACGACGACGUUGAUAGGCCGGGUGUGUAAGCGCAGCGAUGCGUUGAGCUAACCGGUACUAAUGAACCGUGAGGCUUAACCUU